UAAUAAAAAAUAUUUUACGUAAAAUCGUUGAUUUCACCAAAAAAGAAUACCACUUUAAAAAAAAUCUAACUCGUUUUCUAAAAACCAUUAAUUCAACAAGCAACACCACCAAUAAUGCAUUAUAUAUAGUUGCCUGCUUCUUACGACCUAUCAUUAUUGUUCCUGUCUCACAUCCCUUUCUAGCUCUUCUUCUUUCCCUUCCCUUGUGUAAGGUUUUAAAAUGGCGGACUUCAAACAUGCUGAAGACGACCACGAGGUACGAUUCACUACCACACACUGUUUUCUUCUUCCAAAGACCCCCCCUGCCGGAACGCCGCUUGCAGUGAAGGCGGGCAGGGACUAAGUAUUAUUUUUAUUACUACGUUUUCAAAUAAGAAAUAUUUAAAUUCCAUGUUUUCACGAACAGAGCUGAGUCCCAUACUGUUUUUUUUUAAUAAGAUUGAUGAAUGGAUCAACGGUUCUGAUGUUC